GUAGCCUACGGGGGCCGCAGUGAGGAAUCUUGGUCAAUGGGCGCGAGCCUGAACCAGCCAAGUCGCGUGAGGGAGUACUGCCCUAUGGGUUGUAAACCUCUUUUGUCGGGGAGCAAAAGCCGGACGUGUCCGUCUGUGAGAGUACCCGAAGAAAAAGCAUCGGCUAACUCCGUGCCAGCAGCCGCGGUAAUACGGAGGAUGCGAGCGUUAUCCGGAUUUAUUGGGUUUAAAGGGUGCGCAGGCGGAUUUUUAAGUUAGCGGUCAAAUCGUGGGGCUCAACCCCAUCCAGCCGUUGAAACUGGGGG
rnacentral:rRNA from 1 species